ACAGCAGCCGCCGCGGUAAUACGGAGGAUCCAAGCGUUAUCCGGAAUCAUUGGGUUUAAAGGGUCCGUAGGCGGUCUUGUAAGUCAGUGGUGAAAGCCCAUCGCUCAACGGUGGAACGGCCAUUGAUACUGCAGGACUUGAAUUAUUGGGAAGUAACUAGAAUAUGUAGUGUAGCGGUGAAAUGCUUAGAGAUUACAUGGAAUACCAAUUGCGAAGGCAGGUUACUACCAAUUGAUUGACGCUGAUGGACGAAAGCGUGGGUAGCGAACAGGAUUAGAGACCCCAGUAGUCCCUGUCUCUUAUAA
rnacentral:rRNA from 1 species